rnacentral:sRNA from 2 species
AAUACCCCGUUCUUGAUAAUCCAGAAAAAGCAAUUUCCAGCGCUGCAAUUUCCAGCGUAGCUCCUGCGGGCUGCUCGCUGCGGGCUAGAACAGGUGGCGACCCUUGGCUUCAGCGACGGCGUGCAAACAAGCAAGGGAUGCGUUUAUUUUAAGAGACUCCUGGCUUGUCGGUAAUUAAAUCCAUGUAACCUCCAUUUUAUUUAUUUAUUUAUUUAUCUUUUUGUAUACAUCUGCUCAGUACGGAGUAUAUAAAUGCAUGUCUAGAUAGAUAAUUGAUAAUUGUUGAAAAAUCCACCUGCCUGCGCAUCUACAGACCUGUGUGUACUGUUCCGUACAACGUACAAUUCGCUCCCUUUCCUAUCUCGCAGACCUCAAAAACCCCACAACCCCCCUACAAUACCCUACUAGCUCCGCCAACCUCCUCCCCUCCCGCUCCUGCUCAACCUUCCACCGCGCCAACGCCUCCCGCAGCGCUGCCCGCGUAGUCUCUGCCUCGUUGUCGUCCCCACCCCCAUCCCGAAAACCAGCACCAGCACCAACACUCUCCCCUUCAACAGCAACAUCCCCAUGCACCCUCAAGAACACAGCCAUCCACGCAUUCACAAGCUCAAAGUCCCUCCUCGUCCUCAGCUGUGCGGUCAGCGCCUCCACGAACGCCACCAGCUCGUUCAUGCCCUGCUUGCGCCCGUUGAGCAGGCCCGGGUCGAGAGAGCGGAUUUCUAGAUCGGCUUUGGCGGGCGGCAGGGAUUUGAGGUACUCGAUGAAUGGCGCGUAGUGGUUGCUGUUACUGCUGUCACUGCUGUUACCGUUGUUGCUGUCGGAGGAGCAUGAGUGGAGGAGGGCGGUGAAAGUUGAGGGUUGCAUGCUGGGGUCAUUGGCGAGUUGGAGCUUGGCGAUCCGGGAUCGUUCGGCCGGCGUGGUCUUCUUGGUUCCUAAGCUGCCUUCUGCUGCUGCUGCUGCUGGUGCGGAGACAAGUUGCGUGGAGGAGUCGGAGUCAGGCUUUGAGAGGGUUGA